AUUGAACGCUGGCGGCCGGCCUAAUACAUGCAAGUCGAGCGGAGCUGCGGACGGGUGAGUGAUGCCUAGUAAUCUGCCUGUUCGUGGGGGAUAACGUCCGGGAACGGGCGCUAAUCCCGCAUACUAUCAGAUCAGCCUCGGUCGGAUUAGCUAGUUGGUGGGGUAAAGGCCUACCAAGGCAACGAUCCGUAACUGGUCUGAGAGGAUGAUCAGUCACACUGGAACUGAGACAAGGUCCAGAGUCCUACGGGAGGCAGCAGUGGGGAAUAUUGGGCAAUGGGCGAAAGUCUGACCCAGCAAUGCCGCGUGUGUGAAGAAGGUUUUCGGAUCGUAAAGCUCUGUAAGUAGGGAGGCGUUACCAACAGAGAAAGCAACGGCUAACUGCGUGCCAGCAGCCGCGGUAAUAC
rnacentral:rRNA from 1 species